rnacentral:misc_RNA from 1 species
GAUGAAGAACGUAGCGAAAUGCGAUAAGUAAUGCGAAUUGCAGAAUCCGUGAGUCAUCGAAUCUUUGAACGCACAUUGCGCCCCCUGGUAUUCCGGGGGGCAUGCCUGUUCGAGCGUCAUUUCACCACUCAAGCCUCGCUUGGUAUUGGGCAACGCGGUCCGCCGCGUGCCUCAAAUCGACCGGCUGGGUCUUCUGUCCCCUAAGCGUUGUGGAAACUUUCGCUAAAGGGUGUUCGGGAGGCUACGCCGUAAAACAACCCCAUUUCUAAGGUUGACCUCGGAUCAGGUAGGGAUACCCGCUGAACUUAAGCAUAUCAAUAAGCGGAGGA